CCACAAUCGAUCUGCUGCUUCAGCCAAGGAAUGAAGAGUGGUUUGGGCUGAGCCAUUGGAGCAGAGUGGUGUCGUAAACUCAGACAAAUCAGUACCGAUACCACACGGGUGAAUUUCUGGAGAAGAUGGAAAUAUGGAAGAGCUUCAAGGGUCAUCAGUUCUAAGGUGUUGAAGAGUGUGUCCAGCCAGCUCUGAUUGGCCAUGCACUGCUGAACAACCUCCUCUUGCCCGGGAUCUUCGGACGCCGGUGGACGGUGUGGUAUUUGCUGAAACAUGCGGUCUCAAAAAGACAAAAAAACCCCGAUGCCAUGUGUUACCGCCAACUCUCCAUGAGCCUCGGGGAAGACGGCUCUGAAUUUGACAACACGUUUUUUUUUUUUUUUAAUUGGCGUAUGGCAUCAGAACAUAAUGUUAUGAAAUGAAUAAUGAAGCAUUGCUGCUUUAUACCGUAUGUGCAAGCUCUUGUUAGAAAUGUCUUUAUAUAAAUAAUAGAAAUGCGCGUAUAGCUCUCUGGUUUCGCUCACGUAGCAUUAAGUGUUACACUGGUUAGCAUUUUUUUUUUUCACUGUCAGUUUUCCUUUCGCACGCCACUCUUCGCUCGUUUAUAAAGCGUCGCUCCUCCACUCGAGGGAAAAAAAAUGCAGAAUAAAAGUUCGUAGUCUUAAAAAAUAAUCUGUGUAAAAUUCAAAUCGUAACAGACUUCCUCCUUGCAAGGUCUUUAAAUUCCAAAUGGUCAAAGUUUUUCUUCCAAAUCAACAUCGCGUAAAAUUUGUACAGUACUCUACGUCGGUCAUUUUCCGUUUCACCUGUCAGUUAACGAAUUCACCGCCGCGAAAAGGGAGCAAUCCAUCCACUCAUCAGCCCUCUCUCUCUCUCUCUCUCUC